rnacentral:misc_RNA from 1 species
GAUGAAGAACUUAGCGAAAUGCGAUACUUGGUGUGAAUUGCAGAAUCCCGUGAACCAUCGAGUCUUUGAACGCAAGUUGCGCCCGAAGCCAUUAGGCCGAGGGCACGCCUGCCUGGGCGUCACACGUCGUUGCCCCCCCCAUCUACUCCUUCGGGAUUGCGGGGGGCGGAUGAUGGCCUCCCGUGCGCCUCGCCGCGCGGUUGGCAUAAAUGCCAAGUCCUCGGCGACGCACGCCACGACAAUCGGUGGUUGCGAAACCUCGGUUGCCCGUCGUGUGCGGUCGUCGCGCAUCGAGGGCUCGAAAAAAUUGCCGGGCUUCGGCUCGACUUUCAACGCAACCCCAGGUCAGGCGGGGUUACCCGCUGAAUUUAAGCAUAUCAAUAAGCGGAGGA